GACAGAGGGUGCAAACGUUGCUCGGAAUCACUGGGCGUAAAGGGCGUGUAGGCGGGUAGAUAAGUCGGGCGUGAAAUCCCUAGGCUCAACCUAGGAACUGCACUCGAAACUGUUUAUCUUGAGUGCCGGAAGAGGAAAGCGGAAUUCCUGGUGUAGAGGUGAAAUUCGUAGAUAUCAGGAGGAACACCAGUGGCGAAGGCGGCUUUCUGGACGGUAACUG
rnacentral:rRNA from 1 species